rnacentral:rRNA from 1 species
UCGGGAAUUUUGCUCAAUGGGCGCAAGCCUGAAGCAGCAACGCCGCGUGAGGGAUGAAGGCCUUCGGGUUGUAAACCUCUUUUCUCAGGGAAGAUUAUGACGGUACCUGAGGAAUAAGCCACGGCUAACUACGUGCCAGCAGCCGCGGUAAUACGUAGGUGGCAAGCGUUGUCCGGAUUUACUGGGCGUAAAGAGCGCGCAGGCGGUGAUUCAAGUCGAAUGUGAAAGCCCCCGGCUCAACUGGGGAGGGUCAUUCGAUACUGUUUCACUUGAAGGCAGGAGAGGGAAGCGGAAUUCCCGGUGUAGUGGUGAAAUGCGUAGAUAUCGGGAGGAACACCAGUGGCGAAGGCGGCUUCCUGGCCUGUUCUUGACGCUGAGGCGCGAAAGCUAGGGGAGCAAACGGGAUUAGAUACCCCGGUAGUCCUAGCUGUAAACGAUGGACACUAGGUGUUGGUGGUAUCAACCCCGCCAGUGCCGUAGCUAACGCAUUAAGUGUCCCG